CCAUCGGUGGUUCAGUGGUAGAAUGCUCGCCUGCCACGCGGGCGGCCCUGAUUCCCGGCCGAUGCA